GAUGAACGCUGGCGGCGUGCCUAAUACAUGCAAGUCGAGCGAACAGACGAGGAGCUUGCUCCUCUGACGUUAGCGGCGGACGGGUGAGUAACACGUGGAUAACCUACCUAUAAGACUGGGAUAACUUUGGGAAACCGGAGCUAAUACCGGAUAAUAUAUUGAACCGCAUGGUUCAAUAGUGAAAGACGGUUUUGCUGUCACUUAUAGAUGGAUCCGCGCCGCAUUAGCUAGUUGGUAAGGUAACGGCUUACCAAGGCGACGAUGCGUAGCCGACCUGAGAGGGUGAUCGGCCACACUGGAACUGAGACACGGUCCAGACUCCUACGGGAGGCAGCAGUAGGGAAUCUUCCGCAAUGGGCGAAAGCCUGACGGAGCAACGCCGCGUGAGUGAUGAAGGUCUUCGGAUCGUAAAACUCUGUUAUUAGGGAAGAACAAAUGUGUAAGUAACUAUGCACGUCUUGACGGUACCUAAUCGGAAAGCCACGGCUAACUACGUG
rnacentral:rRNA from 1 species